AGUUUGAUGGACGUCCUUAUCAGUCUAUGGUCUAACUUAUGAACAUGUCGGGUCAACGUCAACGAUAAGUGGUUUGCUUAAAUU